rnacentral:lncRNA from 1 species
AAAUAUUUGAACUUUGGGAGCGACUAGCCGCGACUCCGUGCCGCGACAGCCAAUCAGGGCUCUGCUGACGUCAACAAACCGGCGAAGCAAGGAGGAGGAGGGGAAAAGCAAAAAUCAAACAAUGGAGGAACAGUUAAUUACGGCGGUAAGCUUCCACCCGGUCCUGUACGACGUGGGGUGCGGACUGUACCGGGACCGCACCUCCAAGGACGAGGCAUGGGUGAAGGUGGCCCAUGAUGUCGGGCUUUCUGGUAAGUUUGUUUGUGUAUUUAUUUCAGUGAGCGGACAGUUUUAUGAAAACAUAGCUAACUGCCCCUGUAUGCUAGGCUACAUGUUUCAACGUAUGUGUGUGUGUCUUUGCAGUGGAUGUGUGCCGCAAGCGGUGGAAGGGGCUGCGGGACGUUUAUUUGAGGGAGAAAAGGAGGGAGAAAGAAGGCGGGAGAAGCGGGUCGGCGGCCUCCCAGCAGAGGAAGGGGCGUUUCACUGCGGUGAUGUCCUUCCUCGACCCCUUUAUUGCCCCGAGGGACACAUCAAGCAACAUGUCUCGGGAGGUCGAGGAAGACUUCACCGCAGAAAAUGCUGCUUCUUCUGCUGGGAUGCCUGAAGACCUGGAGGAAGCAGGCCCCUCAGGAGUGGAGUUUGACGGUUGGUUGAUGAGUGAAAAACAUAGCAAAUAAAUUUGAGUCCCCUCAUGGUUUAAACACACCAUUGUAGUCUAAUUUAAGAUGGACAGAUCAAGUCAUGCACAUGUAAUGUGUGAACAUUUUUUAUUUGAAUAACAAUGUUGCCUGAUUGCAGAGUUUUGAUUUCAGACAUUUUUGUCACAACUUUAACUAAAGAUAAGCCUGCUCCCUCUCCUGCUUCAGCUCCCUCUCCUGCAGCAGCUCCCUCUCCUGCCCCAGCUCCAUCUCCUGCUUCAGCUCCCUCUCCUGCCCCGUCAACUUCUCCUGCUCCCUCAACUGCGGCAGGUGAUGCCUCGGGCCCCACUGCAGCCAGGCCAAGAGGUAUAGAAAUUAAAUAUUAACCAUAUAUUCAAUGAAAUUGCUCAAGGUCACAUAGAAAUUAUAAAACAAAUAGUAACCGAUUAGUUUUUUUUUAUGACAGGGAGGAAGAGGAGGACGCCUCCCUCCUCACGACUGGAGGAGAUUGAGGAGCUCCUCUGUCAGGCCCUGAGGAGGCAGCAGACUCCCCCUCCACCACCACCACCCACAUCUCGCU